CUCUAAAGUGAUGACUCUUUGAGGACUUACUGACUUUGGGAGUAGCAGAAACUGCCACCAUGCCUGCGAAGCCUGCCCCUAUCAAGAAGGCAGCCCCGAAAGAGCCUGCUCCUAAGAAGGAGGAAGCACCUGCACCUGCACCCGCGGAGGCGGCUCCUGCUGAAGUUGCUCCCCCUGCCGAGGUCGAAGCUCCACCGGCAGAGGCUGCCCCUGCCGAAGCAGCUGCCCCUGCUGAGGCAGCUCCAACCGAAGAAAAGGCUCCCGCAGAACCCGCGCCUGAGCAGCCCAAAGCACCCACACCCCCUCCUCCAGAUGCAGCCGCCGCCACUGCUGCAGAGGAAGGCACCCCCGCUGCUGAUGCUGAGGUCGUGGCCCACCCUGAUGAGCCCACCAGUGAGCCCCUGGAAGUGACAGUGGACGACAAGAGCGACACUUCAGUGACCAUCACCUGGAGGCCUCCAAAGACUAUUCCAGCCAACUCUGGCCUGGAUGGAUACACUGUGGAAAUCACCAAGGAGGGAACUGAAGACUGGAAAGCAGCCAACGAGGAUCUGACCGUGUCCUGCCGUUAUGUCAUCAAGAACCAGACUACCGGCGACCGUCUGCUGAUCCGAGUGGUUGCUGUAAACCCUGGUGGCCGCAGCCCCCCUGCUACCAUCGCCGACCCCGUUCUGGUCAAGGAGGUUGGGGCUCGCCCCAAAGUCCGCCUCCCUCGUUUCCUGAGGCAGAGGUAUGUCAAGAAAGUCGGCGAGAAGAUCAACAUUGUCAUCCCGUACUCUGGCAAACCUAAGCCAGUGGUUAGCUGGUUAAAGGAUGGACAGCCCCUCGACUCAAAGAGGGCCAACAUCCGUACAUCUGACAGAGACAGCAUCCUGUUCAUCCGUCAAGCAGAGAGGGUGGACUCUGGCUCAUACGAAAUGUGCGUGAAGGUGGACGACUUUGAGGACAAAGCUGCUAUCAUCAUCCAGAUUAUUGAGUUACCCGGGCCACCAGCCAGCAUUAAGAUUGUGGAUGUCUGGGGAUUCAACGUUGCUUUGGAGUGGACCGUACCCAAAGAUAAUGGAAACACAGAGAUCACAGGCUACACUGUCCAGAAAGCUGACAAGAAGACCGGGGACUGGUUCAACAUUUUGGAGCACUACGCCAGACUAAAUGCCACCAUCUCAGACCUCAUUAUGGGCAACACCUACACCUUCAGGGUCUUUGCAGAGAACAAGUGCGGACUCAGUGAGGAAUGUGCCGUGACCAAGGGAGAAGCCACCAUUGUGAAGGAGGUUAUUGACUACAAACCUACCCCGUUCGUGGAGCAUGACUUCACCGAGGCUCCCAAGUUCACCACUGUUCUGAACGACAGGUCCACCACUGUUGGCUACAGCACCAAGCUGCUGUGUUCUGUGAGGGGAUGCCCCAAGCCUAAGAUUAUGUGGAUGAAGAACAAGAUGAUUCUCAACAACAUGGACAACCCCAAGUACAGGAUGAUCAGCACAGGGGGCAUCUGCACCCUGGAGAUCCGUAAGCCUGGCCCAUACGACGGUGGUGAGUAUGUCUGCAGAGCCGAGAAUACACUGGGGAAGGUCGACACCGGCUGCAAGCUGGAGGUCAGAAAGCCUGGGCAAGCAGAUGCUGACAAAGACAAGAAGGAACAGUAAAUGCACAUGCAUACAGUCCCAAAUUAGAAGCAAGCGGAAUGAGGCCUUUACAAAAAGGACGGUUCUGGAUGCUGGAAAAAACAUGUACAUAUGACUGACUGGAGAGAACAAACAAUGAAAUGGUUAAUGCCUACAACCGCUGUAUCCUACCCUUUCCUAUAUUUAUGAAGAUUUUUUUUUCUUUCCUUUAUUUAUUUUUCUUCCUUAGUACUCUCUGGUAUAGAGUUCAUAUCCAUGUCCACAACCAACUCAGAUAUCAACUACUGUCUGUGUCACAUCGUAAUUCUGAAUAGGUCUCCAUUAUAUAGAGCAAAUCGAUUGUUACUGAUUGGAGAUUAAAGAUGUAAAACCUCGGAAUGUGUUACAAUAUUUUGAUUUAAUGCUUUUCUUUUGUUGAAUAAACCUACAAUUGAAUAAACCUUCUCUAACCUGAAGUAAAAAUUA